rnacentral:lncRNA from 1 species
UGAAAAGAUGAGUAUGAUGAGUUGGCUUACACUCGCCACAAGCUACAUCAGAGUCACAUCAGUACAAUACAUACAAUCAUCAUGAAGAAGAGCAGGGUUCGUAUAAAGACAAAAAUAAACGAUAAAAGAACGACGUCCAUCCUUGCUAUACCAGGCUGCCGGCCUCGAACCCAUCCUAGAUCGAUGAAGAAGAAGAAGAAGAAACUCCAAAUAGCACAAUCAGCACGCUCACGUCAAAGUAACCCUUUACCUAUAUCUGCAAUUGGUGUUGUAGUAAUCUGUGAGCCACAGGGAGUUAGCAAUCUCAUUUCCAAAGGUAUCAAAACUACCAAAGCUUAAUGGGUGAGGUAUGGUUAAGUGGUGAGGCUGCAGCACACGACUAAGCAUUUAUUUGAGGUGACUAACUUACGAGUAAAAGAAUAAAAGAGGGGGAUUAUCUACACAUAAACGAUCGUUAACUAAUAAUGAUCAAAUGAAUGAUCCUGAACAUCUACUUACGUCAGACAUAACCCCACCGUGUCCUUGAUCGGAGAAGGAGCUCAUGAAAGAGACAGACACAGUUACACACUCAGUUGGCAAGUUUUAAUUAACUUUACUACAAUUAUGUAAAACUGGAUGUUAGACAAAGUUUCCAAGUUGCCACAUAACCGCACGCACAACUUUCCGAAAUUUUUAACCCUACAGCAGCAGAAUGACCUCGAUCAGGGAAUCCCGUGAUCUCCUCGGGUUCCUAUUGGAAAAUCUCAACCUCGAGAUAACCCAAUGUUCCUCGGAAUCCCUCGCACAAGACGCUCGAGAAAGGUAAAACAAGUCCAGCAAGACCGCCCGGCGUGUCGACGAUCCCGAUAGAAGCCGCGUAUCUCGUUCUCAGGACACGACGGAUGGGCUAUGGUUACCACGCCGGACGACGAGUUGCCCCGGGUAGCGUUAAUAAGCUGCUCUGUUUGCAACCAACACCAUCAAUACUGACCCCCCUGUAUUAUGUUGAAUUACUUCUCGGGAUCAUGGCACCCUAUGGUGUUGGAAGAAGAAUGACUCCGUAAAGCAGAUGAACCAACGUAGUCGAACGGAGCUUCAUAUUUCGACACGCUUGCGAAACUCUAUCGAGACGAAGCAAACCGGAAGCAAUAAUCAACACGAAAAUCACCAUGGCACAUGCAAGAC